UACGAAGGGGGCUAGCGUUGCUCGGAAUCACUGGGCGUAAAGGGUGCGUAGGCGGGCCUUUAAGUCGGGGGUGAAAUCCUGGAGCUCAACUCCAGAACUGCCUUUGAUACUGAAGAUCUUGAGUUCGGGAGAGGUGAGUGGAACUGCGAGUGUAGAGGUGAAAUUCGUAGAUAUUCGCAAGAACACCAGUGGCGAAGGCGGCUCACUGGCCCGAUACUGACGCUGAGGCGCGAAAGCGUGGGGAGCAAACAGG
rnacentral:rRNA from 1 species